AGGAAAAGUUACCUUUUGAUGGAUUGUCUCUAAUAAUAAGCUUUUGAUUUCCGGCAUAAUUUCACCCUGUGGAACGCUGGGAAAAUACCAAUUGAUGAAAACGAACCGGCAUUUCAAGUCUAGUUACAAACCAGAUUGUCCACUUUAACUGGCUUUGGAGUCUUACAAACCUGACGACUGCGUCCUUUUAACGCAACGGAUAGUACAUCGAGGCAAUGACGUUUCCUUUUAACGCAACGGAUAGUACAUCGAGGCAAUGACGUUGUUGGAGUAUUAAAAGAUUGAUCCUUCUUCAAACGACAAAAGAUAGCCUACGAGAAAAUACAAACACGUCUGUUGUUUUCUUAUUUGGCUGACGGUGAUGGACUUCAGCUCAUCCACCUUUACACGACAUCAAAGGAACAGUUCAAUGUCAUGACAUCAAUAGCGAUUCUUAUUGACUUUUCUUGUUGCCAUGUGGAAUCUUCAACAACAAACAAAGGAAAAACUUGGCCAGAAAAGCCAUUUGGAAAAGAAAGAAAGGAGUUGUUUCAUCGGAUAGUUUUACAAGAAUGGCGUGCACUUCAGUUGGAAGUAUAGAAAUUGAUAAAAUAAUCCUUUUAUUUAAAUUUUCUAUUUUUCUUACAUGCGUGUUCUAUUUGCGUGAGGACGUGAGAUAACAUCCUUGACUGGGUAGUUCUCAUGGAGUUUUAGUCGGUUUUUCCCAAACAGCCGAUAUCGCUAGUAAAACCGCGAUAGACUAAAAAACAUGUGUGUUCCAUACUAGACGAAAAGGGGAUAGCAAGUUAUGUUCCUUAUACGGUAGCAAAACAAUGCUCACCUUGACAAAAUAGGGCUAACCUUGAAGAACACAACAACAGACGAGCGUAACUACAAUUUCUUGGAACUCAUUCUAAAUGCCAUUGUGAAACAGCGUGCAGUUCUACAACCACUAAAUUUGUACGUCGUAGCGGAUAACAAAUUAGCUGGAGAAAUAUACUUAAACGCACAUGGACUACGAUUGAAGGUCAUCGGUCGUGACUGCCUGAAGAAAAACGUGAGUAGGAAACCAAUUGGAUGCAGUUCAACAUGUUUCGAGAUAGGAAAGGUCAACUACCGGAGCUUUGGCAGUUUAUAGCCGCUAAAAUAAUGAUAUUGGACUAUCGCCAGAUUAUCUAGAAACGCUUUUUCACGCAAUUUGGCUAACCUUAAGCUUAACAUCAUUGUUACGGCUCGUGUUUACAGGGUCGUAAGCUAUAGAAUGAUAAUACUCAUUUUGCCUAUUCUGCAGUAGAGAAACACGCAUCGGUUGAAAAAGUCGUAUUAUUGCAAUCAGUGAAACGUUUCACGUUCGUAAAGUGCAGGACUCACAAGUAUUUUUUUUUUCUCAUUUUAUGAAUAUCUGAAUAUUAUGUUUACGCGUGUUAAGAUAUAACUUAGGCCACCAUUAGCAGUAAAAAAACAUAUUUAAGUUGCUUUUUCAGGCAAAUGUAUUUUGAUAAAGAAACACACAGGCAUACAUCUAAAAAAAAAAAAAAAAACAGAUAUGUCAAACAAUAACAAUGUUGGAAAAAUAACAGUGCCAGCUUCAGCCAAGUUUAUUUUCCGACACUGCUUCCGCUUCCUUGACCAGUGGCUCCAGCUUGACCACUGAAGAGGUUGAGGUUGGCGGUUCCAGUGCCGGAACCAGUACCGACUCCGCCAUUCUGUGCGCUUGAGAUGCCGACCUAAUCAAAAGUUUUACUUCAAUGUAAAAAUGUCGCCACGUAAAUAAGGUAUAGUCUUUAUGAUUUCUUACGCCUGAUGCAGAUACUCCUCCAGGUCCAGCAUUACCCGUUCCAGCUCCAGCGCCACUUCCAGUACCACCUAUUAAACAAUUUGACAUUUGGUUGUUAAAUUUGGAAGUAGAGAAGAAGACGGUGAUAAACUUACCGAAUGCGGGGAAUCCGAAACCUGGUUGGCCGAAAGGACGGUUUCCAAAUUGAGGUCUAGCAGCGGCAACAGCCAAGAGAAGAGCGAGGGCAAGAGUGACCUGAGAAUGAUGAGGAAUUAUUAGCACAUAAUACAACCAAAAUUGUUUCUGGUUUUGUGUUCAACGUUUCAUGAAUUUUCAGGUUUACCUUGUACAUUCUGAAGUGUUAGCUGCUUUAGUGAAUGAAUAGCUAAGAUUGAAAUUCAGCUAUAGUCUGACUUGCCGACUGGGACCGACUUCUUUUUAUACGGUGAGAAAACCAAUGGAUAGCUUAGCUUGCGUGACUAGCGUUCGGAACGCUGGAAGGCAACGUCACCUUGGCUUCAGGGCUCGCGUUUUUUCCCUCAUCACGUGACGACGAGUCCUUGUUCUUUCCAAUUUGUCAAUAACACAUACUAAGACAGGUUCAUCAACUGGAAUUAUGCUUGAUGCCAUAAAGCGAUUGUUGCCUUUUACAUUUUAAAUUUAGAGAAGAACGAUGGCAAUCGUCAGUGCAUUGCCAGAUGAGAUAAUGGAUGAGAAUUAACAGAAUUAACUCCUUUAUUAUUACGGUGAAGUCAUGCAUUUACCUGAAAAGCUUUCAAGAGCGUCAUUUCUAGCUUUGCUUCAGGUAUUAUUCGCAGAUUUUACCGAGCGAUACCGAAGGCAGACGAUGUCCAUGGAUGAAAUUAGAAAACAGGCAAAAUGUCUUCUGUCUAGUACUGUCGAUUACCUACAAUGGCUGCCAAACUGCCAUUUUGAUUUUGGAAAAUCACUGCGUCUCUUCGAAAUUAGAGCCACUCAUCCAUAAUGAAUUUAGCCUUUUUGCCAGUGGCUCUUCUCACUUAUAGUCGAUUUUUCAUCAUAAUUGACAUUUCCAACAAGUUUCGUUUACCAGCCACGUUGUCCUGUUAACGUAGGUGGUCAAGAUCAGUUUAGCUUGAUAUUGAAAGUGAAUGGCUGCACGUUUUUGCAUAUGUUUUUGCCAACCAUUUCUUCGUACCAUUGUUAAAGCAAUCGAACGACAGGUCAGUCAGCCUGGAGCUUCAAUGGUCUUUAUCAAUUCAGUUUUAUUUGGUGGUAAGAAAGAUCAUUUUGAUUUGAAAUAAAAGUUUAUUGACAAAUUGAAAAACUUUAACAGGUAAAAAAGAAAAAAAAAAUGGGUGGGGGGCAUCAGAUACAAUUACUAACACAUUUUUUGUGCAUGUUCGGACAAACUGUAGCAACAGUUAGCUUAUUUUCCGACACUACUUCCGCUUCCUUGGCCAGUUGCAGAAGCUUGGCCUGUAAAGGCGUUGAGUGAAGCUGUUCCAGUACCGGUACCUGUAGCGAGCCCUCCGUUUGAAGCACUCGAGAUGCCAACCUAGUGAAAUCGUUGUCAUUAAUCUCAGUUUUUGCCACAUACUCGGAUUAAUAAAAUCUUACGCCUGAUGCGGAUACUCCUCCUGGCCCAGCGUUACCGGUUCCAGCUCCAGCGCCACUUCCAGUACCACCUAUUAAACAAUUUGACAACAUCAUGAAGGGUUUUGGUUGUUAAAUUUGGAAGUAGAGAAGACGACGGUGAUAAUCUUACAUAUGAUUCCGAAACAUAGUUGUUGUUGGCCGAAAGGACGGUUUCCAAAUUGAGGUCUAGCAGCGGCAACAGCCAAGAGAAGAGCGAGGGCAAGAGUGACCUGAGAAUGAUGGGAAAUUAUUAGCACAUAAUACAACCAAAAUUGUUUCUGGUUUUGUGUUCAACGUUUCAUGAAUUUUCAGGUUUACCUUGUACAUUCUGAAGUGUUAGCUGCUUUAGUGAAUGAAUAGCUAAGAUUGAAAUUCAGCUAUAGUCUGACUUGCCGACUGGGACCGACUUCUUUUUAUACAGUGAGAAAACCAAUGGAUAGCUUAGCUUGCGUGACUAGCGUUCGGAACGCUGGAAGGCAACGUCACCUUGGCUUCAGUGCUCGCGUUUUUCCCCUCAUCACGUGACGACGAGUCCUUGUUCUUUCCAAUUUGUCAAUAACACAUACUAAGACAGGUUCAUCAACUGGAAUUAUGCUUGAUGCCAUAAAGCGAUUGUUGCCUUUUACAUUUUAAAUUUAGAGAAGAACGAUGGCAAUCGUCAGUGCAUUGCCAGAUGAGAUAAUGGACGAGAAUAAACAGAAUUAACUCAUUUGUUAUUACGCUGAAGUCAUGCAUUUACCUGAAAAGCUUUCAAGAGCGUCAUUUCUAGCUUUGCUUCAGGUAUUAUUCGCAGAUUUUACCGAGCGAUACCGAAGGCAGACGAUGUCCAUGGAUGAAAUUAGAAAACAGGCAAAAUGUCUUCUGUCUAGUACUGUCGAUUACCUACAAUGGCUGCCAAACUGCCAUUUUGAUUUUGGAAAAUCACUGCGUCUCUUCGAAAUUAGAGCCACUCAUCCAUAAUGAAUUUAGCCUUUUUGCCAGUGGCUCUUCUCACUUACAGUCGAUUUUUCAUCAUAAUUGACAUUUCCAACAAGUUUCGUUUACCAGCCACGUUGUCCUGUUAACGUAGGUGGUCAAGAUCAGUUUAGCUUGAUAUUGAAAGUGAAUGGCUGCACGUUUUUGCAUAUGUUUUUGCCAACCAUUUCUUCGUACCAUUGUUAAAGCAAUCGAACGACAGGUCAGUCAGCCUGCUGGAGCUUCAAUGGUCUUUAUCAAUUCAGAUUUAUUUGGUGGUAAGAAAGAUCAUUUUGAUUUGAAAUAAAAGUUUAUUGAAAAAUUGAAAAACUUUAACAGGUAAAAAAGAAAAAAAAAAUGGUGGGGGGGCAUCAGAUACAAUUACUAACACAUUUUUUGUGCAUGUUUGGACAAACUGUAGCAACAGUUAGCUUAUUUUCCGACACUACUUCCGCUUCCUUGGCCAGUUGCAGAAGCUUGGCCUGUAAAGGCGUUGAGUGAAGCUGUUCCAGUACCGGUACCUGUAGCGAGCCCUCCGUUUGAAGCACUCGAGAUGCCAACCUAGUGAAAUCGUUGUCAUUAAUCUCAGUUUUUGCCACAUACUCGGAUUAAUAAAAUCUUACGCCUGA